UAAAGAGCAAAGAUUGCAUUAGGAGCGAACAGCGCUGCAGAAAUAGAUGGCAGCUUCGUGUCAUUGACUGAAACAAAACAAAACAAAAGGGCCACUGGAUGUCUGCCUUCUUGGGGGGUGAGCCAGACAGACUGACAAACAAACAGCCCCAACUGUGUUCGGGGGAGGGUUUCGCCUCCCGUUUUGCCCGGCAGCAGCAGCAUGGACGUGUUGGCUAGUUAUAGUAUAUUCCAGGAGCUACAACUUGUCCACGACACCGGCUACUUCUCAGCUUUACCAUCCCUGGAGGAGACCUGGCAGCAGAAAAUUAUUGAAGAUCAUCUCCAAAAAGAAAACACACCAGUUUCUUAUUAUUGACUAUGAAAUCAACAUGACUGGGUGGGACUGGGGAAAAGACAGAUUUAUCAGUCCCUAAGAGCUGAUGGAAACUGCAUCCUUUAGGUGGAACACAGAGUUGGCUGUAAGGAGACAUUCCUUUGUUUUUGUUGUCUUGAACAAAAGGAAGGACAGUAGAUGACACAGACAUGCCUUGAAUUGGAACGCUACCUACAGACGGAGCCCCGGAGGAUCUCAG
rnacentral:lncRNA from 1 species